GGGCCCGCACAAGCGGUGGAGCAUGUGGUUUAAUUCGAUGCAACGCGAAGAACCUUACCUACUCUUGACAUCUACAGAAGCUUGCAGAGAUGCGAGUGUGCCUUCGGGAACUGUAAGACAGGUGCUGCAUGGCUGUCGUCAGCUCGUGCCGUGAGGUGUCAGGUUAAGUCCUAUAACGAGCGCAACCCCUACCGUUAGUUGCCAGCGUGUAAUGACGGGGACUCUAACGGAACUGCCGGUGCAAACCGUGAGGAAGGUGGGGGACGACGUCAAAUCAUCACGGCCCUUACGUCCUGGGCCACACACGUGCUACAAUGGUAGGGACAACAGGUUGCCAACCCGCGAGGGUGAGCCAA
rnacentral:rRNA from 1 species